UGAGACCACGAACAUUCCAGAACUUCUGAGCGGAUGACACAACAAAGAGGUUUAGGCUCCUUCUGGCAAACUGUCCCCACCCAACUCACCAGAUGACCCCCAGAAGCCGGUGGAUCAACAAGGGCACAUGGCUUAGUUCUGAGAUUCCUGCGACACGUUAAUCAAAGGCCAUAUCCACACGUCUCCAACCCAAAGAGCAUGUCAAGACUACUCUCCCCACGAGGGCAAAGGUCAUGCCUUCAUUGCUGGGAAAUCGUGGUGCCCGUGUUCCUCAGCCAAAGAAUAGUGGGAAAAGACUGGAUCAUUUAAAUAAAAUGGGAUCGCCAUUAAAGAACUGGCUGCCAACGUAAAGACUUGGAAUUUUAUUAAGCCAGGGAAAGAGAAGCCACAUUUUCCAUGGUGGAGACCAACUGUGGAGACUUUUUUGAUAGGCAAAGUCUACAAGCAUUGGUUUGGCUGGUCCUGUUCCCUUCCCUUUCUGUUCAGUUAACCCAGUGAAUUUUGUCUUGGAUGCCACGGUGGGAAUGCUACUCAUACGGUCUGGAGUGGAAUGAUGGGGAUGCGGGGGUUCUUCUGGUGGUGUUUGCAGAGGAUGCUGAGUAGAGAUGAAAUCCAGUUUGGGCAGAAUUAGUCUUUGCACGAUGGCAAGAAGACACUGGUGUGGAGUUUCCAUUUACUCUGAGCCUCCACUUCAUUUCCCUCACACCAUGGGCUUUCAUAAAGGCUCUUUGUCAGAUUGCUGCUACUCUGGUGUUCCCUUAACAAUAGCAGUUCCCGGAGCUGAAAUGACCAACGUGCCACAUUGGUCAGGGUUCACUUGCAAAGAGCAGCGUAGAAGCAGAGAGGGAUUUAUUACAGGGCGAUAAAUGACUCCCGGGAUCAUUGGGAAGGCUGGAGAAAUUGAAGAAACUCUAAGUGGAGUUUCCAGGAGUGAUUCCCAAAGUCACGAUGCAGAACUGGGCCACCUGGGAGCUGCGACGCUGUCAUCAAACCAGCUGAGGCUCUGGGAGUUCAUCAACUGGCCACAUCCAGGCCAGUGCAGAGCAUGCCUGGCACGCUGCUUCUGUCCCUUCUAGGUAGUUUGGAAUUCGAAUCCUAAGCAGUUGCUUCUGUUUGGCCCAACGUAGAUCUCAUCUGGAGCUCCGUAUCAAUCAGGGCUCUGGAGAGAGAAAGAGAGAACCAAUAGGACAUGGAUACAUACAGUAAGAGAUUUCUAUCAAGGAAUUGGCUCAUGAUUAUAGAGACUUAGCAAGUCCCAAAUCUGCAGAAUGGGUGGGCAGGCUUGGAGACCCAGGAAAAGGCAAUGACGCAGCGGGAGUCUGAAGGCCGUCUGCUGGCCUAAUUGCCUUUUGCUCAGAGGAGGACCACUCUUUGGUUCUAUUCAAGUCUUCACUGAUGGAAUGACGACCAUUACGGAGGGCAACCUGCUUUACUCAAAGUCCAUGGAUUUCAAUGUUCAUCUCACCCACAAACACCCUUACAAACACAUCCAGAAUCAUGUUUGAACACAUACCUGGGCACCCUCAUGGUGCACUCACGUUGACACGGAAAAUGAACCAUCACUCACCAUUAACUGAUGUCUCACCUCCCUACUCCUUGAAGUACAGCAGUGGCCCUUGAGGAGGCAGGGGUAGAUGUAUGCGAACCAGUCUACAGAAGCCGCUGGCUCAUCCUUCUGCAGUUAGAACAACUCUUUUUCAGUUCAUGUAUGGCAUCUUGAAAAUCAAAGCUUAGGUCAAGACAAGUUGAAUGGCAAAAAGAAAGAAGGAAGGAAGGAAAAAAAGAAGGAAGGGAGUAAAUUUAGGUGUGUCCUCUUCCAAAGCCAAGUGUAAGACUGAGAAACUGGCUUGCUUGAGAGGCUACCAGAGUCACGUGGAUAAGGAUGAAUCUGGAGCAUAUUAUGAACAGAAGACAAGUUUAAAUAAAGGGAUGUGAACCAUUCAUUCUAAUGCAGCCCUAGCGGGAAAUUUAACCUAAAAAACAAGUUGAUCAGCAUCACUGAAAUUGAAAGUGUGUAUUCAACCAAAAUGUCACUUUAACCUCACCACCUUUUCAGAUACUCUGAUUUCCUACUGGAGACCUGGUUCUAAGCAAAGGGUGGCUGUGGGAUCUGUUUUAUUUAUUAUUGGUUACUGUGGAACAGACCAUUCCAAAGGUUAGAGACCUGGAACAAUAAUAAGAUCUAUUUUGUUCAUGGAUCUGUCGUCCAGCAGGGCUGGUAGGGCUCUGUCUCUGCUCUACGCUCUGUUAGCUGGGACAAUUCCUAGGCUGGGGCUGGAAUCUUCAGGAAGCUCAUUCACUCACAUGUCUGGGGAUUCACACUGGUGACUGGCUAGCACCCGAGCUGGGCUCUUCUGCGGGAACAUCUCCAUGUGGCUUCCUCACAACAUGGCAGCCGAGUUCCAAUGGAGAGCCUCCUGAGAGAGACUGUAGCCACAUCGCUGGUUAUGACCUAGCCUCGGAAGCCCACUGCCAGCUAUUCAUUGAGGCAGCCACAAAGGGAGUCCCACCCAAAUUCAAGGGAAGAGGAAGCUCUGUCUCUUCGUGGGGGCAUUGGCAAUACUCUGGAAUAGCAUGUAGGACUAAAAUAUCCCUGUGUCCAUUUUCUUUUAAAGACUGGUUGAUUAGGGACGCCCGGCUAGCUCUGUGGUUGGGUGCCUGCCUCCAGUUCAGGACGUGAUCCUGGAGUCCCGGGACUGAUCCCACAUCAGGCUCCUUGCAUGGAGUCUGCUUCUCUCUCUGCCUAUGUCUCUGCCUCUCUCUCUCUCUC